rnacentral:rRNA from 1 species
GUAGGGAGCAAGCGUUGUUCGGAAUCAUUGGGCGUAAAGAGCGCGUAGGUGGUUUGGUAAGUCUGUUGUGAAAUCCCAUAGCUCAACUGUGGAACUGCGACGGAAACUGCCAGACUUGAGUGCGGGAGAGGAAAGUGGAAUUCCCAGUGUAGAGGUGAAAUUCGUAGAUACUGGGAGGAACACCGGUGGCGAAGGCGGCUUUCUGGACCGCAACUGACGCUGAGGCGCGAAAGCUAGGGGAGCAAACGGGGGAUUAGAUACCCCGGUAGUCCUAGCCGUAAACGAUGGGCACUAGGUGUGGGGGGUAUCGACCCCCUUCUGUGCCGUAGCUAACGCAUUAAGUGCCCCGCCUGGGGAGUACGGUCGCAAGACUA